GACGAACGCUGGCGGCGUGCUUAACACAUGCAAGUCGAACGGAAAGGCCCUGCUUUUGUGGGGUGCUCGAGUGGCGAACGGGUGAGUAACACGUGAGUAACCUGCCCUUGACUUUGGGAUAACUUCAGGAAACUGGGGCUAAUACCGGAUAGGAGCUCCUGCUGCAUGGUGGGGGUUGGAAAGUUUCGGCGGUUGGGGAUGGACUCGCGGCUUAUCAGCUUGUUGGUGGGGUAGUGGCUUACCAAGGCUUUGACGGGUAGCCGGCCUGAGAGGGUGACCGGCCACAGUGGGACUGAAAUACGGCCCAGACUCCUACGGGAGGCAGCAGUGGGGAAUAUUGCACAAUGGGCGGAAGCCUGAUGCAGCAACGCCGCGUGCGGGAUGACGGCCUUCGGGUUGUAAACCGCUUUCGCCUGUGACGAAGCGUGAGUGACGGUAAUGGGUAAAGAAGCACCGGCUAACUACGUG
rnacentral:rRNA from 1 species